CGUCACCUAAGCCCCGAGGCCAGGCGGCUUCUUGUCUACUAAAGACUUCCGGAGAGAGGCAUUCACCCUGUGGUCAGAGCUGGGGUUUCCAUGGAGGAGCACCACAGCCAUAAAGAAAGGUAUGGAGGCUGUGAAGUGCAAGGUCAAGAGGCUGCAUCUGGUGAAGACCUUCUUGCUGGUAGGGUCUCUCUACCUGGUCCUGAGGCAGUCCAGGGCAUCAC
rnacentral:lncRNA from 10 species